rnacentral:snRNA from 1 species
CUGCUUGCUUCAGUAGCACAUGUACUAAAACUGAAACGAUACAGAGAAAAUUAGCAUGGCCUCGGAGCAAGGAUGAUUUGCAAAUUCCUAAAUUGUUCUAUACUUUU